GUAACGGCCUACCAAGGCGACGAUCCGUAGCUGGUCUGAGAGGAUGAUCAGCCACAUCGGGACUGAGACACGGCCCGAACUCCUACGGGAGGCAGCAGUGGGGAAUAUUGGACAAUGGGGGCAACCCUGAUCCAGCCAUGCCGCGUGUGUGAAGAAGGCUUUCGGGUUGUAAAGCACUUUCAGUGAGGAGGAAAACCUUAUGGCUAAUAUCCAUGAGGCUUGACGUUACUCACAGAAGAAGCUCCGGCUAACUCCGUGCCAGCAGCCGCGGUAAUACGGAGGGUGCAAGCGUUAAUCGGAAUUACUGGGCGUAAAGCGCGCGUAGGUGGUUCGAUAAGCGAGAUGUGAAAGCCCCGGGCUUAACCUGGGAACGGCAUUUCGAACUGUCGGGCUAGAGUGUGGUAGAGGGUAGUGGAAUUUCCUGUGUAGCGGUGAAAUGCGUAGAUAUAGGAANGGNAACACCAGNUNGGCGAAGGCGGCUACCUGGACCAACACUGACACUGAGGUGCGAAAGCGUGGGGAGCAAACANGGAUUAGAUACCCUGGUAGUCCACGCCGUAAACGAUGUCAACUAGCCGUUGGGGAUCUUGAAUCCUUAGUGGCGCAGCUAACGCACUAAGUUGACCGCCUGGGGAGUACGGCCGCAANGGUUAAAACUCAAAUGAAUUGACGGGGGCCCGCACAAGCGGUGGAGCAUGUGGUUUAAUUCGACGCAACGCGAAGAACCUUACCUGGCCUUGACAUCCUGCGAACUUUCUAGAGAUAGAUUGGUGCCUUCGGGAACGCAGUGACAGGUGCUGCAUGGCCGUCGUCAGCUCGUGUCGUGAGAUGUUGGGUUAAGUCCCGUAACGAGCGCAACCCCUAUCCCUAGUUGCUAGCAGUUCGGCUGAGAACUCUAGGGAGACUGCCGGUGACAAACCGGAGGAAGGUGGGGAUGACGUCAGGUCAUCAUGGCCCUUACGGCCAGGGCUACACACGUGCUACAAUGGCGCGCACAGAGGGCUGCAAACUCGCGAGGGUAAGCCAAUCUCUUAAAACGCGUCGUAGUCCGGAUCGCAGUCUGCAACUCGACUGCGUGAAGUCGGAAUCGCUAGUAAUCGCGAAUCAGAAUGUCGCGGUGAAUACG
rnacentral:rRNA from 1 species